GCGGAGGAAAAGAAACUACCAAGGAUUCCCCUAGUAACGGCGAGUGANGCGGGANCNGCUCAANUUUUAAAUCUGGCUGCUUCGCAGUCCGAGUUGUAAUUUGAAGGCGUCUGUCGCAUGUGAGACGAUGGCACAAGUCCUCUGGAACGUGGCAUCGUAGAGGGUGAGAAUCCCGUCUCUGGUCGUUGUCUUGCAGGCACACGGCAGGCGAUCCGAAGAGUCGAGUUGUUUGGGAUUGCAGCUCCAAAUGGGUGGUAAACUCCAUCUAAGGCUAAAUAUUGGCGAGAGACCGAUAGCGAACAAGUACCGUGAGGGAAAGAUGAAAAGAACUUUGAAAAGAGAGUAAAACAGUACGUGAAAUUGUUGAAAGGGAAACGCUUGAAGUCAGUCGUGCCGGCGGGGAUUCAGCGAACUUCGCGGAGUGAGCGUAUUUCCUCGCAUGGCAGGUCAGCGUCAGUUUUGCGCGUCGUGAAAGGGCUCGGGUAAGGUGACUCUCUUCGGGGAGUGUUAUAGGCCUGAGCAGAUGCGAUGCGCGGGACUGAGGAUUGCAGCGGACACCCUUCGGGGCGCGGCGACCGAUCCCUGCUCUGUCACCUUCGUCCGAUAGCGUGCUAACGGUCGGGGGAGCGGCGGUUGCACCGGKUGGCAAGCCSGCGGCUYCCCUUAAGAUGCUUGCGUAAUGGCUUUUAACCACC
rnacentral:rRNA from 1 species